UACGGGGGGGGCAAGCGUUGUUCGGAAUUACUGGGCGUAAAGGGCUCGUAGGUGGCCAACUAAGUCAGACGUGAAAUCCCUCAGCUUAACUGGGGAACUGCGUCUGAUACUGGAUGGCUUGAGUUCGGGAGAGGGAUGCGGAAUUCCAGGUGUAGCGGUGAAAUGCGUAGAUAUCAGGAGGAACACCAGUGGCGAAGGCGGCGAUCUGGGAAGAUACUGACGCUGAGGUGCGAAAGCGUGGGGAGCAAACAGG
rnacentral:rRNA from 1 species